GCCCGAAGUUGCGGACAACUCUGAGGGCGUGGUCUGGAGCUCUGACAUCACAAACGGCACUGCCCUCUCCAUUGGUCCCCACGUUGUGACGUUUACAGCUACUGAUACUUCUGGAAAUACAGCCCAAUGUUCUUUCACUGUAACAGUUGAAGACUCUGAGCCUCCUGAACUGGACUGUCUGGACUCCUUCGCCAUCACCACAGCAGUGGGCCAACCUUACGGCGUUGCAUCUUGGGUGAUACCGACCGCGACCGACAACUCCGGCGAUGCGCCAGUGCAGACCGCCAACCUGACCAGCCCUGCAAACCUAGGCAUCGGCAUCCAUACAGUGACCUACGAUGCAACGGAUGGUAGCGACAAUACCGCCUCCUGUACAUUCCAGAUCACUGUUACAGAUGAAGAGGCUCCAGACUUGAGUUGUUUGACUUCAUUUUCUAUCGAAACCGUGUUUGGUCUCCCAUACGGAACGGCUACAUGGAUG